rnacentral:lncRNA from 1 species
AAUAAAGGCAGAUCUGAAGCAACACAGAAGUGCCUUUUACACACAAAUUCCUCUUUUGAAGCCUCUUCUCCCUGUGCUUGCUAAGCCACCUUCUUUGGAAAGGAGUAGGGAGAAUACAAGCAGAGGUUGCUCAGCACCCAGCAAAGCUGUCCUUUAGAGCAGGUUUUCAAGGUCUCUCUGUGGUCUUGCUGGGGCAAAGCAAACCUGAAAUCCAGAGCCACGCAUGGUGAAUUCAUUGGGAAUUUAAGUUAUCUUCAAGCAAGACUAAAUCCUGGAUCGAGGUAAAAAAGAAAGCAGAGUCCUUCACCAGUAAAAGUGCCAAGAUUUGUUCGGCAAGGUGCUUCCAACAACCAGCAGUGGCUGGAUUGCUGGAACACAUGUAAAAAAAAGACACAAACAAAUAGUUUAUAGGCUAAGCAGUUCCCAGUUUAGGUCACUGGAUGGUCAACCAGGGAGUUGCAUGUGCUAGCACUGCUGUUAGGAGAAAAACACAUGCUGAACUUCCUCUGUGGCCUUUGGGUGGCUACUGAAUCUUUGACCCACUACAAGUGAUGACAGGCUUCAUAGAGAGUGAAACCCACAGCCCUCAUUCAGGCUUUGGCGCUGAAUCUACAGAGAAGGAAGAGGAUCUACUCCUGGAACGUACCUGGAAGAGGCAAAUUAUGAAUCCUGGAGGAAUUUUUACCGUUCAUCUUGUGAGCAAGAAUUUCCAUUUCCUUUUGACAUCAGAGACAACAGCUCAAGAUGUAUCACAAAGCACCGGCGAGAUAACACAAUAUUGCUACAGCACACGUUUCUUUGUGAUCAGACGCACAAUAGGACGUGUGGGCUGAACACUCCCUCAAGAAAUGAAAAUGCAAUCAAUUGACUCAGUUAAUAUUUUGCUCUGUGGAAAAACUCCAUCAGACAAUCUGGAAUUUCAUUAAUCUGCUGCACUGCACGAGCUGUUGCAGCCCAGGCACAGGAAAGCUGCUUUGUGCUUUAUUCACCCUGUGCCAACACUCCUUAGCAAUUUGGGAGCUGGGGGUGAUGUUAACCUCAGCAGCCUUCCCCUCCAGUGCUGCUGGGGCUAGAAUAAAGCUGGGCUGACAUACCUGGAGCUGUAUUAC